UAAAAUUCUAUGGUUGAAUAUAAUAGGUCGUAUUCACUAUGACUAUUAAUAAUAAUAGUGUAGAAAAAUAAGAAUUUGAUCUCUUAUCGAUUUUGUAAGUUUGCCCAUUUUUUUCCAUUUCCAAAGAUUUCCAAUCAGAUUGAGGUCCGGAGACUUGGCUGGCCACUCCAUGACUUUAAUGCACUUCUUCCUUUUUAGUAACUCCUCUGUUGCCAUGAUCGUAAGUAUUUGGAUUAUUGCCGUACUAGAAGAUCCAUUGUCAGUUUCAUUUUCAUUGAAAUAUAACUAGCCAAAUUCGAUUUUCUAACUUUUUUGGUUUUUGGCUACCCUUGUGGGCAAACUUACAAAAUUGGUGAGUCAUCAAAUACUUAUUUUCUCCUUCGUAGGUCGUUUUUUAAUUAAUAUCAUAAUUUAUAUUGCUUAUUAAAUAUAAUACUUAACAGAGACGGAUUAUAGUAUUUAACUUUCAAAGAUCAUUGGAUCAUGUUUGAGCUGCGUCCAGAUUAUGAUUAUCUAUCCAUGACAAUAUCAAUGAAUGUGAACACUAGAUAUAAAUUAAAUAUGGUGUGAUUCAUUCAUCAACUUCUGAAUAUUUAUAUAAUCAAAAAAGCAGCUCAUCCUUUCUUGAAAUCAAUUGGAGAACAUAACUAUUAAUUGAAAUUAUGUUAUUUUAUGUGAAUAGUUAUAAUAGUUACAUGAUUAAUGAGAUUGUAUGAUUUAUAUGAAACUUGUAGAUAAAAUUAGAUUAUUUACAAUUCUACUUGGUAUAUUUAUUUAUUUAUAAAUAAGAACUCAAUUGGAAUUAAUGAAUUUAAUGAUCGAAGCUUAUUAAUUCAUUUAGCAGACUUAUUCUGAUCUUA
rnacentral:lncRNA from 1 species